rnacentral:rRNA from 1 species
UACCAAGGGUGCAAGCGUUACUCGGAAUUACUGGGCGUAAAGCGUGAGUAGGUGGUUUCUUAAGUCUGCUGUGAAAGCCCCGGGCUCAACCUGGGAAUUGCAGUGGAUACUGGGAAGCUAGAGUGCGGUAGAGGGUAGUGGAAUUCCCGGUGUAGCGGUGAAAUGCGUAGAGAUCGGGAGGACCACCAGUGGCGAAGGCGGCUACCUGGACCAGCACUGACACUGAGUCACGAAAGCGGGGGGAGCAAACAGG